rnacentral:rRNA from 1 species
AUGCUGAGGCAUGCGGGGCGGCUUGUGUUGAUCAACUCGACGCUCACAGCCACGGCAAUAUACCCAAUGUUGGUGCUUGAUCUGCUGCAAUGGUUCCUGGCAUGUAUCGAUAAGCUAUGUAGGGGAUUUUUGUGGCGCGGGUAUGAGGAAGCCAAGGGUGGCAGCUGCUUGGUGAACUGGAAACUUGUCUGCACGACCAAAGAAUUUGGUGGCCUAGGGGUGAAAAACUUGAAGGUUAUGAAUAAUGCUCUAAUGCUCAAGUGGUCAUGGCUAGAGAAGGUGGGCUAG